rnacentral:rRNA from 1 species
GAUGAACGCUGGCGGCGUGCCUAAUACAUGCAAGUCGAGCGGACAAACAAGAGUUUUGUUCCUGUUGCUAUCGGCGGACGCGUGAGUGACACGCGUGGAUCCCGCCUCUAAGACUGUGAUAACUUCUGGAAACCGGGGCUCAUAUCGGAUAUUAUUUUUUGACCCACGUUCUACAGUUGAAAGAUGGUUUUGUCCUUCACUUACUGAUGGGCCCCGCGCCGCAUUAGCUAGUUGGUAAGGUAACGGCUUACCAAGGCAACGAUGCGUAGCCGACCUGAGAGGGUGAUCGGCCACACUGGAACUGAGACACGGCCCAGACUCCUACGGGAGGCAGCAGUAGGGAAUCUUCUGCAAAGGGCGAAAGUCUGACGGAGCAACGCCGCGUGAGUGAUGAAGGUCUUCGGAUCGUAAAACUCUGUUGUUAGGGAAGAACAAGUAUCGGAGUAACUGCCGGCACCUUGACGGUACCUAAUCAGAAAGCCACGGCUAACUACGUG